GCAGGGGAUCGCAAGACCUUGCGCUGAUUGAGCGGCCGAUAUCAGAUUAGCUAGUUGGUGAGGUAAAGGCUCACCAAGGCGACGAUCUGUAGCGGGUCUGAGAGGAUGAUCCGCCACACUGGAACUGAGACACGGUCCAGACUCCUACGGGAGGCAGCAGUGGGGAAUUUUGGACAAUGGGGGCAACCCUGAUCCAGCCAUGCCGCGUGAGUGAAGAAGGCCUUCGGGUUGUAAAGCUCUUUCGGCCGGGAAGAAAUCGUAUGGGUUAAUACCCUGUGCGGAUGACGGUACCGGCAUAAGAAGCACCGGCUAACUACGUGCCAGCAGCCGCGGUAAUACGUAGGGUGCGAGCGUUAAUCGGAAUUACUGGGCGUAAAGCGUGCGCAGGCGGUUUUGUAAGACAGGCGUGAAAUCCCCGGGCUCAACCUGGGAACUGCGCUUGUGACUGCAAGGCUAGAGUACGGCAGAGGGGGGUGGAAUUCCACGUGUAGCAGUGAAAUGCGUAGAGAUGUGGAGGAACACCAAUGGCGAAGGCAGCCCCCUGGGUCGAUACUGACGCUCAUGCACGAAAGCGUGGGUAGCAAACAGGAUUAGAUACCCUGGUAGUCCACGCCCUAAACGAUGUCAACUAGGUGUUGGGUGGGUAAAACCAUUUAGUACCGGAGCUAACGCGUGAAGUUGACCGCCUGGGGAGUACGGCCGCAAGGUUAAAACUCAAAGGAAUUGACGGGGACCCGCACAAGCGGUGGAUGAUGUGGAUUAAUUCGAUGCAACGCGAAAAACCUUACCUACCCUUGACAUGCCCAGGAGCCUGAAGAGAUUUGGGUGUGCCCGAAAGGGAACUGGAACACAGGUGCUGCAUGGCUGUCGUCAGCUCGUGUCGUGAGAUGUUGGGUUAAGUCCCGCAACGAGCGCAACCCUUGUCGUUAAUUGCCAUCAUUUAGUUGGGCACUUUAACGAGACUGCCGGUGACAAACCGGAGGAAGGUGGGGAUGACGUCAAGUCCUCAUGGCCCUUAUGGGUAGGGCUACACACGUCAUACAAUGGUCGGUACAAAGGGUCGCCAACCCGCGAGGGGGAGCCAAUCCCAGAAAGCCGAUCGUAGUCCGGAUCGUAGGCUGCAACUCGCCUGCGUGAAGUCGGAAUCGCUAGUAAUCGUGGAUCAGCAUGUCACGGUGAAUACGUUCCCGGGUCUUGUACACACCGCCCGUCACACCAUGGGAGCGGGUUCCGCCAGAAGUAGGUAGCCUAACCGCAAGGGGGGCGCUUACCACGGCGGGGUUCGUGACUGGGGUGAAGUCGUAACAAGGUA
rnacentral:rRNA from 1 species